rnacentral:rRNA from 1 species
UACGUAGGGGGCUAGCGUUGUCCGGAAUCAUUGGGCGUAAAGCGCGUGUAGGCGGCCCGGUAAGUCCGCUGUGAAAGUCCAGGGCUCAACCCUGGGAUGCCGGUCGAUACUGCCGGACUAGAGUUCGGAAGAGGCGAGUGGAAUUCCCGGUGUAGCGGUGAAAUGCGCAGAUAUCGGGAGGAACACCUAUGGCGAAGGCAGCUCGCUGGGACGUUACUGACACUCAUGGACGAAAGCUAGGGGAGCGAAAGGG